rnacentral:rRNA from 1 species
GUCCAGGCCAGCAUCAGUUUUCCCCGGGGGAUAAAGGCGGCGGGAAUGUGGCUCUCUUCGGGGAGUGUUAUAGCCCACCGUGUAAUACCCUGGGGGGGACUGAGGUUCGCGCAUCUGCAAGGAUGCUGGCGUAAUGGUCAUCAACGA